rnacentral:rRNA from 1 species
AAAACAUAACCUUUAGCUAAACAAAUAUUAAAGGCAACGCCUGCCCAGUGAACAAUUAAACGGCCGCGGUACCCUAACCGUGCAAAGGUAGCGUAAUCAUUUGUCUAUUAAUUGUAGACCAGUAUGAAAGGCAAAAUGAGGGUCUGUCUGUCUCUUACAAUAAAUCAAUUAAACUGAUCUCCUAGUAAAAAAGCUAGGAUUCACACACAAGACCAGAAGACCCUGUGAAGCUUAAACUAAACUAUUAAACCCUAUAAUACCUACUUUCGGUUGGGGCGACCUUGGAAAAAAAAAGAACUUCCAAACAAUGACUUACACUCACACAGGCCCACAAGCCUAUAAUAGACCCAGUAUAACUGACAACUGAACCAAGUUACUCCAGGGAUAACAGCGCCAUCUUCUUCAAGAGUCCAUAUCAAAAAGAAGGUUUACGACCUCGAUGUUGGAUCAGGACAUCCUAAUGGUGCAGCCGCUAUUAAGGGUUCGUUUGUUCAACGAUUAAUAGUCCUACGUGAUCU